rnacentral:rRNA from 1 species
CCUACGGGUAGCAGCAGUGGGGAAUAUUUGGCAAUGGGCGCAAGCCUGACCCAGCAAUGCCGCGUGAAGGAAGAAGGCUUUCGGGUUGUAAACUUCUUUGACAGGGGAAGAGCAGAAGACUGUACCCUGAAUACAAGCCACGGCUAACUACGUGCCAGCAGCCGCGGUAAUACGUAGGUGGCAAGCGUUGUCCGGAUUUCCGGGGUGUAAAGGGCGUGUAGCCGGGAAGGCAAGUCAGAUGUGAAAUCUGGAGGCUCAACCUCCAAAUUGCAUUUGAAACUGGUUUUCUUGAGUACUGGAGAGGCAGACGGAAUUCCGUGUGUAGCGGUGAAAUGCGUAGAUAGAAGGAGGAACACCAGUGGCGAAGGCGGUCUGCUGGACAGCAACUGACGGUGAGGCGCGAAAGCGUGGGGAGCAAACAGGAUUAGAUACCCCAGUAGUC